GCCUGGAUAGCUCAAUUGGUAGAGCACUUUUAGUUUGAGGGUCCAGGGUUCAAGUCCUUGUUUGGGCA
rnacentral:tRNA from 1 species